rnacentral:ncRNA from 1 species
ACCAAGGAGUCUAACAUGUGCGCGAGCCGCGGGGCAGUACGAAACCCGUAAGGCGAAAUGAAGGUGAACGCCGGCGCGGUCCGGCGGAGGUUGGAUCCCGUCCCGUCGGGGCGGGCGCACUACCGGCCGAUCUUCUCCGCCCUGUCGGCGAGGUCGAGCGAGAGCGUGCAAGUCGGGACCCGAAAGAUGGUGAACUAUGCCUGAGGAGGUUGAAGCCAGAGGAAACUCUGGUGGAGGACCGUAGCGAUUCUGACGUGCAAAUCGAUCGUCAAAUUUGGGUAUAGGGGCGAAAGACUAAUCGAACCGUCUAGUAGCUGGUUCCCUUCCGAAGUUUCCCUCAGGAUAGCUG